rnacentral:rRNA from 1 species
AUUGAACGCUGGCGGCAUGCCUUACACAUGCAAGUCGAACGGCAGCAUAGGAGCUUGCUCCUGAUGGCGAGUGGCGAACGGGUGAGUAAUAUAUCGGAACGUGCCCUAGAGUGGGGGAUAACUAGUCGAAAGACUAGCUAAUACCGCAUACGAUCUACGGAUGAAAGUGGGGGAUCGCAAGACCUCAUGCUCCUGGAGCGGCCGAUAUCUGAUUAGCUAGUUGGUGGGGUAAAAGCCUACCAAGGCAACGAUCAGUAGCUGGUCUGAGAGGACGACCAGCCACACUGGGACUGAGACACGGCCCAGACUCCUACGGGAGGAAGCAGUGGGGAAUUUUGGACAAUGGGGGCAACCCUGAUCCAGCAAUGCCGCGUGAGUGAAGAAGGCCUUCGGGUUGUAAAGCUCUUUUGUCAGGGAAGAAACGGUAGUAGCGAAUAACUACUACUAAUGACGGUACCUGAAGAAUAAGCACCGGCUAACUACGUGCCAGCAGCCGCCGUAA